rnacentral:rRNA from 1 species
GAACGGUAACAGGUCUUCGGAUGCUGACGAGUGGCGGACGGGUGAGUAAUGCGUAGGAAUCUGUCUUUUAGUGGGGGACAACCCAGGGAAACUUGGGCUAAUACCGCAUGAGCCCUGAGGGGGAAAGCGGGGGAUCUUCGGACCUCGCGCUAAGAGAGGAGCCUACGUCCGAUUAGCUAGUUGGCGGGGUAAAGGCCCACCAAGGCGACGAUCGGUAGCUGGUCUGAGAGGACGACCAGCCACACUGGGACUGAGACACGGCCCAGACUCCUAGGGGAGGCAGCAGUGGGGAAUUUUUCGCAAUGGGGGCAACCCUGACGAAGCAAUGCCGCGUGGAUGAAGAAGGCCUCCGGGUUGUAGAGUCCUUUCGUGGAGGACGAAAAGGUGGGUUCUAAUACAAUCUGCUAUUGACGUGAAUCCAAGAAGAAGCACCGGCUAACUCCGU